UGGACAGGGCAGAGCUAUGCUGUAAGAAGCUUGGGCCAGGGGUGGACGAUACUAGAUCCAGUUGGAGGGCUGAGUCUCCCAUGACCAGACCUGUGCAGUAGACUGCCCAGAUGUUGCAGAUCAGAGGCUGGGCAGCAGGUUUAAAACAACCAUAAAAAAGAACUUCUUUGCACACAACGCAGAAUCAACCUGCGGAAGUCAAUGCUAUGGGAUAUUGUGAAGACCAAAAGUACAAGUGAGUCAGAAAAGAAUUAGGUGGAAAUCAGGAGUGGCUCUGCUGAAGCCAAGAUGUGAGAUCAGCACCAGGGCCAGAGGAUGCAAAGCUGACUGAUGCAGAGGAACAUCUAACAAAAAGCUUCUUUGUAAAUCGUGGCUGUCUGUCUCUCCGA